CCUACGGGUGGCAGCAGUGGGGAAUAUUGCACAAUGGGGGAAACCCUGAUGCAGCGACGCCGCGUGUGUGAAGAAGUAAUUCGGUAUGUAAAGCUUUAUCAGCAGGGAAGAAAAUGACGGUAACUGAGUAAGAAGCCCCGGCUAACUACGGGCCCGCAGCCGCGGUAAUACGGAGGGGGCCAGCGUUAUCCGGAUUUACUGGGUGUAAAGGGAGCGUAGACGGGAGUGCAAGUCUGGUGUGAAAGGCCGGGGCUCAACCCACGGACUGCACUGAAAACUGUACGGCUUGAGUGCAGGAGAGGUAAGUGGAAUUCCUAGUGUAGCGGUGAAAUGCGUAGAUAUUAGGAGGAACACCAGUGGCGAAGGCGACUUACUGGACUGUAACUGACGUUGAGGCUCGAAAGCGUGGGGAGCAAACAGGAUUAGAUACCCCUGUAGUC
rnacentral:rRNA from 1 species